UACGUAGGGGGCAAGCGUUGUCCGGAAUUAUUGGGCGUAAAGCGCACGUAGGCGGUUUGUUAUGUCGGAUGUGAAAGCCCUUGGCUCAACUGAGGAAGUGCAUCCGAAACUGGCAAGCUAGAGUAUGUAAGAGGGUCGCGGAAUUCCCGGUGUAGAGGUGAAAUUCGUAGAUAUCAGGAGGAACACCGGUGGCGAAGGCGGGUCUCUGGGCCGAUACUGACGCUGAGGAGCGAAAGCGUGGGGAGCGAACAGG
rnacentral:rRNA from 1 species